rnacentral:tRNA from 1 species
GCCUGUGUGGCUCAGUCAGUUGAGUGUCUGACUUCGGCUCAGGUCAUGAUCUUGUGGUUCAUGAGUUCAAGCCCCAUGACAAGCU